GCCAGGUUAAGGCCAGGUGACUACAGGCUGGGUUAAGGCCAGGUGACUACAGGCUGGGUUAAGGCCAGGUGACUACAGGCUGGGUUAAGGCCAGGUGACUACAGGCUGGGUUAAGGCCAGGUGACUACAGGCUGGGUUAAGGCCAGGUGACUACAGGCCAGGUGACUACAGGCUGGGUUAAGGCCAGGUGACUACAGGCCAGGUGACUACAGGCUGGGUUAAGGCCAGGUGACUACAGGCCAGGUUAAGGCCAGGUAACUACAGGCCAGGUGACUACAGGCCAGGUUAAGGCCAGGUAACUACAGGCCAGGUGACUACAGGCCAGGUUAAGGCCAGGUGACUACAGGCCGGGUUAAGGCCAGGUGACUACAGGCCGGGUUAAGGCCAGGUGACUACAGGCCGGGUUAAGGCCAGGUGACUACAGGCCAGGUGACUACAGGCCGGGUUAAGGCCAGGUGACUACAGG